rnacentral:rRNA from 1 species
CCUACGGGAGGCAGCAGUGAGGAAUAUUGGUCAAUGGGCGGGAGCCUGAACCAGCCAAGUCGCGUGAGGGAAGACGGUCCUAUGGAUUGUAAACCUCUUUAGGCGGGGAGCAAUGCCGGGCACGCGUGCCCGGAGGGAGAGUACCCGCAGAAUAAGCAUCGGCUAACUCCGUGCCAGCAGCCGCGGUAAUACGGGGGAUGCGAGCGUUAUCCGGAUUUAGUGGGUUGAAAGGGUGCGUAGGCGGAUUUUUAAGUCAGCGGUAAAAUGUCCGGGCUCAACCCGGGCCGGCCGUUGAAACUGGGGAUCUUGAGUGGGCGAGAAGUAUGCGGAAUGCGUGGUGUAGCGGUGAAAUGCAUAGAUAUCACGCAGAACUCCGAGUGCGAAGGCAGCAUACCGGCGCCCGACUGACGCUGAGGCACGAAAGCGUGGGGAUCGAACAGGAUUAGAUACCCUUGUAGUC